GGGCGGAGCGUUUGCCGAGACCAGAACCCACGUCACCCAAGAUCCCACCUUCUCCUGACGAGCCUUACAAGCGAGGGGUCACUGGUUCGAACCCAGUACCGCCCA
rnacentral:tRNA from 1 species